rnacentral:rRNA from 1 species
UACGUAGGGGGCUAGCGUUGUCCGGAAUCAUUGGGCGUAAAGCGCGUGUAGGCGGUCCGGUAAGUCUGCUGUGAAAGUCGGGGGCUCAACCCUCGAAUGCCGGUGGAUACUGUCGGGCUAGAGUACGGAAGAGGCGAGUGGAAUUCCUGGUGUAGCGGUGAAAUGCGCAGAUAUCAGGAGGAACACCUAUUGCGAAGGCAGCUCGCUGGGACGUAACUGACGCUGAGGAGCGAAAGCAUGGGGAGCGAACAGG